rnacentral:rRNA from 1 species
UACGUAGGGGGCGAGUGUUGUCCGGAUUUAUUGGGCGUAAAGAGCGUGUAGGCGGCCAGGUAGGUCUGCUGUGAAAACUCGAGGCUCAACCUCGAGACGUCGGCGGAAACCAUCUGGCUAGAGUCCGGAAGAGGAGAGUGGAAUUCCUGGUGUAGCGGUGAAAUGCGCAGAUAUCAGGAAGAACACCCGUGGCGAAGGCGGCUCUCUGGGACGGUACUGACGCUGAGACGCGAAAGCGUGGGGAGCGAACAGG